UGUGGUGUAGCUCAGCGGAAGAGCGCUUGGCUUUGGCACAGGGUACAGGAGGUCACCGGUUCGAAUCCGGUCACCACAU
rnacentral:tRNA from 1 species